rnacentral:rRNA from 1 species
GACGAACGCUGGCGGCGUGCUUAACACAUGCAAGUCGAACGGAAAGGCCCUGCUUUUGUGGGGUGCUCGAGUGGCGAACGGGUGAGUAACACGUGAGUAACCUGCCCUUGACUUUGGGAUAACUUCAGGAAACUGGGGCUAAUACCGGAUAGGAGCUCCUGCUGCAUGGGGGGGGUUGGAAAGUUUCGGCGGUUGGGGAUGGACUCGCGGGUUAUCAGCUUGUUGGUGGGGUAGUGGCUUACCAAGGCUUUGACGGGUAGCCGGCCUGGGAGGGUGACCGGCCACAUUGGGACUAAGGUACGGCCCAGACUCCUACGGGAGGCAGCAGUGGGGAAUAUUGCGGAAUGGGCGGAAGCCUGAUGCAGCAACGCCGCGUGCGGGAUGACGGCCUUCGGGUUGUAAACCGCUUUCGCCUGUGACGAAGCGUGAGUGACGGUAAUGGGUAAAGAAGCACCGGCUAACUACGUG